UGGAAGUUUAUUGAGUCACUAGUCUUUAUGC
rnacentral:piRNA from 1 species